rnacentral:lncRNA from 1 species
AAUCUAUAAUGAACUAAGAAAGUCCAAAUGAAUUUAUUCGUAACACAUGUAAAAUAUAUUUUUAAGUAAAUAAGAGCAACCAAUUGAGUCAUUUAUUUAAGAAAUACUUAUGUACUUAUUGAAUGAUACUAUGUGCCAGGCACUAUUAUACACUGGGAGGAGCCAGUGGUGAAGAAAAUGACAAAGUCUGCUCUCUUGGAGCUUAUAUUCUAGUGGAAAGAGAUCUAGAGUAAACAAACGGGCAAGUAUUUAAUAUGAUGGCAACAAGUACAGUGAAGAAAACUGUAUCAAGGCAAGGGGUUAGAGAGUGGGGCAGCUAUAUGACACAGGGUAGUCAGUGACUGUCUCUUUGAGAAGACAAUGAUAUAUACUUUACAAAGAUAGGCAGCAGAUCAAAUUUGGUCUGUGGGCUGCAGUUGGCUGACUGACCACUGCUCUAAAAUACAAAGGAUAUAAUCAAGAAUUCUUUAACUGAGACAUAGAGACCUGGAGUAGAUUAGCAUUAAUUUUAUUUUGGAAUCACUUUAGAAUUCUGCACACACUGCAAGAUAAUUAGAAACACCCUAGGAUAUUACAACAUAUUACAGGCCAGAGCUGGAGUUACUGCUCAGAAUAAAUGUGUUGAGUUUCCCAAAUGAGAAAACUGGGAAUCAUCAUAGAAGGCUCCCUGUGCCUCGUCCACAUCACCUUCCAUGUUCCACCAGGCUCCAAACCAUUCCACCUCCUAAAUAUCCUGGAGGACAUGAUGGAUAUCCUCCCUCUUUGUGCCACUGAGGGCCAAUUUGCACCAUCCUGUUUCCCUGGUUCUGCAUAACCCAUCUCUUCUAUCCUCAACUUUGUCUUAUUGUCCUGCAAAUACAUUUUCAAAACACAAAUCUUACGUAGGGUAAAAGGAACUGAGAGGAAGCAAACUAUAGUUUAUGGAACUUUUUCCAGUCAUUCAUGUCACAAAUUCGCUGAACAUGCACUAUUUUGUUUAACCUUUAUAGAGCCUUAUAAUGAUCCUUUAGGGAGGCUGUUAUUUAGCCACAUUUAAAUAACACACCUAUAGGCAUUCACAUUCAUAAAUGGCUGUGAAUGAAUGCAUAAAUGCAUUUUUAGUUAUUAUAUAGUCAGUUUUUACAUAUAAUCCUUUCAUGAAGUCAUUUUCCUGAGAGUAUGGGAAUGUUCAAAGGGCUAUCAUGAAACGUUCUCAACCUGUGCAAUUGGAGGGUCUUGAGCUCAAGGGGGAUCCAGAGCUCAGCUCAACAUUCACCAGACAGGGAAGUGACUUGGAAGGCACCAGCAUUCUGAGGUUGGCCUUGUAAGGUAAGGUGUUCACUGGAAGUAUAGGGAAGGUGGCAAUAGCGACAGAUAAACAAGAAGGCUGAUGAGAUGCCAGUGAAGAUGUUAUGGACCCGCAGAGCUGAAAUACAGUUGCAUCUGACACCAGUGCUUUGAAAUUUUGGCUACUUGUAUGCUCUUGGCUUUGCCUAUACUAUUUUUUAAGGAUUUAUGUAAAGUUUGUUGUUGGUUUUGCUUUUUGAAUGUUAACCAGUUUCAACUGUGGUGAGUCAAUGCAAAAAAAAAAAAAAAAAAAGUUUUUGGUUCAAGCCAGGGCCCCAGUUCUCACGAGGCUACAGGAUAUCUCCAGGAAAGACAGAAGGUUGAGUCUAAGUCUCCCAGGGACCUUGGGAAUCACAGAGAGUGGUAUCACCAAAAAAAAAAAAAAAAGCAGCACAGGAUGAGGUCAUGGUGACUACUUUACCGCAGGAGAUUCUAGAGGAAAUAACUUAUUUAAAAUGCCCAGUACAUAAAUUAUGUUUCAACAUUUGGUAGCUGGAAAGAUUCACUGAAGUGUUUGCUUACUGAUUAUUAACUAGUAAAAUGAGGCUAAUAAAGUUAAGUUACAUGUAAGGGCAAUUUAAAUGUAAUCAAAAUGGACAUAAAGUAUUUUUUAAAUUAUAAUGUGUCAAUGCAAAAAUAUGUUUUGAUUCAUAGUCUACACAUUGUUUCAUUUGGGUAAAAUGUGAUAUACUCAUAAUGAUUAGUGCACAUGAAUAGAGGGAAGUUCAGGCUGUUUAUUAUAUACUCAUACUUAUAAAAUGUUAUACACUCACAACUUAUACUAUACUUUAAGAGUAUAAUCAGAUUUUAUGGUAUAAACAUCAGUAAGUAUUUGGUACUGAUAAUAAGUCAGAAAAAUACUUAGAAAUGCAUACAAACCCUUGACUAUUGCCUCUGGUUAAAUAAAUAAUAAUGAAUUCUAAAGUCAGACUAAAAUACAUUUUCCAACAACCAAAACCUAUGGAAAUAGUCCUAGAAGAUUUUAUAAUAAGAGUAUAAAUGGAAUGCUUACUUCAUUAGAAGUCACUGUGUAUGCUCUUUACUAUGCGGUGAAAUAUGAUUUGACAUGGUAUGGUCUUAGAAACUAUUCAUGAGUUUUUAGUUACUGAUGUAAAAUGCCUCAUCUCACAGGUGAGGCUGACCUGCUAGCACUGGGACAUGGAGGCUCAGGGAGAGUACAGCAGGGACUCACUAGGGGACUUUGGGAUUCUCUCAAUA